GAGAGAUGACCGAGUGGUUUAAGGUACCGGUCUUGAAAACCGGCGUGCUGUAAAAGGUACCGAGGGUUCGAAUCCCUCUCUCUCC
rnacentral:tRNA from 1 species